rnacentral:rRNA from 6 species
AGCGUGCUUGGGCGAGAGUAGUACUAGGAUGGGUGACCCCCUGGGAAGUCCUCGUGUUGCACCC